UCUCAUAGAAUGCCCAAGGCACAAACUGUAUUCUCGUACUUCCUGUCAUCUCUUCUCCCUCUGUGGUAGUAAGUAUCAUAAACACACACACGUGGGCUUCCGAACUCUGCUCAUGUUGUCGUCUCUAAAAGGUCUGUAAAUAACAUAUGUAUUUGAUUAGUUGUGGUCACGCCAUCAUAAUUUUGACAACAUGUCGACAUGUGAGAAAACACCAAACGAAGGACUGGAUGCCGAAGAGGACGAGUUGCCUCCUCUCGUUGUGACUCGGACUCGUAGCGGGCGCAGAGUACGGACCCCAGCUGUGUAUCUUGACUCUGAAGUACCGAAGACUCCAACACGCCGAACAAGGACAUCUGUCAUUCAAGAGUUACCGAAUGAGAAUGCAGAGAACCAGACGGAACCCAAACCAGCGGUUGUAGUCGUGGAACCAGUUGCCGAAGAGGCUCUUUCGAAAACACUUCAAAGCAGGGAGUCCAAAUCAAAUGCAUUGGCAACAGCUGAGGCAUACCCAAAACCAGUCAAAAAUGUUGGGAAAUCAUUAGGUACAUUUAUUCAAGCUGUGUCACAUCAUUGCACCGAGAAGGAAAACAAGGUUGGUCCCGUACCAAUGGAGACUGUUCCGGACCGCCCAAAUAAAACAGCCAAAAAGAGGACUCGUUCAGAGUCAAAUGAGAAACUUGAUCUGAUACCUUUGGGGAAACCGAAAUCCGGACGGGUAUGGAAGGACCGCAACAAGCGGUCAGUAAAAGGUUCUCUGCCCUUGUAAGAGACAAUCCACUGUGCUCCUCCUGGGAGAAGAUGGCAACCAAGCGAGAGAAGGAGCUGGUGAAGAAAUAUUCCCUGCAACUGAAGGAGGACAAAGCCAGGGAGAGAGGAAAAGAGGAAGCGGCAUGAGGAUAACUUGAAAAGGCGAGCUGAGAAUGAGAGGAAGUCCGAAGUUGUGCAAGUGACCCGGAACACAACGAAGAUCAAGAGGAUUAAGAAGAAACAGCUGAGGAAGAUUGAGAAGAGGGACACACUCGCCAUGCUGCAGAAAUCACAGCCCAGGAACCCAAAAGCUGCACAGAAAGGUGGCAAAGGGGACAAGUAGAGGGAGUUCUCAAGUUGACUGAUGGGACAUUCAGAAGCACCCCAUGUAGAUAUGAGAGAACUGGUCAUCUGCUACAUGCAAUGACCCGGUGUUGCAGUUCCGCCAGGAUAAAAAGGCGAUCUUUCCAUCAAUAGGCUAGGUGGAAUUUACCAUAUUACUUCAUCUUUCGGAUGUGCCUAGGGCUGACAUGGCUAUGCUAACUGUGUGAGGCUGUUGGGACUGGAGAGCAUGAGCAGCAAACCCUUUAAAAACAAUUAACCAGCUGUGGAGCAUUGUCGAUGCAAAAAGUGCCUCCUGUCUCUUUUGUGGAAAUCCAAAUGUGAGCUGGAAGAAUUCUUAUCAACUUGUAAUGCAAUGUUCCAUUAAACAAACCACAUUUAUAUCACAUCCCAACCUUUGGUCAUUAGAUUAUGCUUUUUGCCCACUUUAGUGUGUUUCAUUAGAGGAAUAAUGUUAUAAAGCAAGUGUGCACUU